CACGUAGGAGGCGAGCGUUGUCCGGAAUCAUUGGGCGUAAAGAGCGCGCAGGCGGCUUGGCAAGUCGGGUGUGAAAUCCCGGGGCUCAACCCCGUGACUGCAUCCGAUACUGUCAGGCUAGAGGUAGGUAGGGGAGAUCGGAAUUCCUGGUGUAGCGGUGAAAUGCGCAGAUAUCAGGAGGAACACCGGUGGCGAAGGCGGAUCUCUGGGCCUUACCUGACGCUCAGGCACGAAAGCUAGGGGAGCGAACAGG
rnacentral:rRNA from 1 species